rnacentral:tRNA from 1 species
GUCCCUAUCGUCUAGAGGGCUAGGACAUCGCCCUUUCACGGCGGUAACCGGGGUUCGAAUCCCCGUAGGGACGCCA